GGACCCGCACAAGCGGUGGAGUAUGUGGUUUAAUUCGAUGCAACACGAAGAACCUUACCAGGGUUUGAAAUCAUUUCAAAACUCCUUGAAAGAGGAGCCUCCUUCGGGAUGAAAUGACAGGUGGUGCAUGGCUGUCGUCAGCUCGUGUUGUGAAAAUGUCGAGUUAAGUCUCGUAACGAGCGCAACCCAUGUCUCUUGUUGCUCACUGAGUGCUUAAGAGAGACUGCCGACCAACAUCGGAGGAAGGUGUGGAUGAUGUCAAGUCAGCAUGCCCCUUACAUCCUGGGCUACACACGUACUACAAUGGUAAGGACAAUGAGCUGCGAUCCUGCGAAGGCUAG
rnacentral:rRNA from 1 species